UCUAAGCAGAGCCCUUGAAUGGUAAAGCCGCGAAUGGCUCAUUACAACAGCCACAGUUUAUUGGGUCUCCAUUAACUUGGAUAACUGAGCUAAUUGUUGAGCUAAUACACGCACCAAAGCUUCGACCUCACGGGAGGAGCGCAUUUAUUAGAACAAAACCAAUCGGACUUCGGUCCGUCCAUUGGUGAAUCUAAAUAACUUAGCCGAUCGCAUGGUCUCGCACCGGCGACUCACCUUUCAAAUGUCUGCCUUAUCACCUUUCGAUGGUAGUUUAUACGCCUACCAUGGGUUUUACGGGUAACGGAGAAUAAGGGUUCGACUCCGGAGAGGGAGCCUGAGAAACGGCUACCACAUCCAAGGAAGGCAGCAGGCACGCAAAUUACCCACUCCCGGCACGGGGAGGUAGUGACGAAAAAUAACGAGGCGGUUCUCUAUGAGGCCCGCCAUCGGAAUGGGUACAAUCUAAA
rnacentral:rRNA from 1 species